rnacentral:rRNA from 1 species
UACGACUACAUAUCAGGCAUAUCAAUAAGCGGAGGAAAAGAAACUAACAAGGAUUCCCCUAGUAACGGCGAGUGAAGCGGGAAGAGCUCAAAUUUGAAAUCUUAAAGGGUUUCCCUUUACGAAUUGUAGUUUAAAGAAGUGUUUUCUGUUGGAGUUUCGGUAAAAGUUCUUUGGAAUAGGACAUCAUAGAGGGUGAGAAUCCCGUAUUUGACCAUUAUUUCCAGCUUUGUGAUACACUUUCAAAGAGUCGGAUUGUUUGGGAAUGCAGUCCAAAAUGGGUGGUAAAUUUCAUCUAAAGCUAAAUAUUGGCGAGAGACCGAUAGCGAACAAGUACCGUGAGGGAAAGAUGAAAAGAACUUUGAAAAGAGAGUUAAACAGUACGUGAAAUUGUCAAAAGGGAAGCGUUUGACACCAGUGUUGUUUUCUCGAAAAUUAAUUAAAAAAGACUGGAUUUUGUGUUGUAUUGACUUUAUCAGCUUUCUGCACUCUUUUCUUGUCUUUUUUAAUGCACUUUUCGUUUAACAAGUCAACAUCAAUUUCUUUUGUUGUAAAAGGGUCAUUGGAAGGUGGCUUUCUUUUCGGAGAAAGUGUUUAUAGCCUUUGGCCUCUGCAAUCGGAGAGAUUGAGGUCUGCAGCGUAGAUCCUUCGGGGUUAGAUACAUUUGUGCUAAGUUAUAGCCUUUCAUAGACAACUUGUUGACUAUGAUCAGUCAUGUAGCUUACUCGCUUAUGCUAUUUUACCUACGCUUAGGAUGUUGAGUAGCGACAUACGCAC